GGAGGGUGCGAGCGUUAAUCGGAAUUACUGGGCGUAAAGCGCGCGCAGGCGGCUGGGUCAGUCGGAUGUGAAAGCCCCCGGGGCUUAACCUGGGAAUUGCAUUCGAUACUGCCUGGCUAGAGUAUGGGAGAGGGAAGUGGAAUUUCCGGUGUAGCGGUGAAAUGCGUAGAUAUCGGAAGGAACACCAGUGGCGAAGGCGGCUUCCUGGCCCAAUACUGACGCUCAGGUGCGAAAGCGUGGGGAGCAAACAGGAUUAGAUACCCUGGUAGUCCACGCUGUAAACGAUGAGAACUAGAUGUUGGGAGGGUUAGCCUCUCAGUGUCGCAGCUAACGCGUUAAGUUCUCCGCCUGGGGAGUACGACCGCAAGGUUG
rnacentral:rRNA from 1 species